rnacentral:rRNA from 1 species
AUUGAACGCUGGCGGCAGGCCUAACACAUGCAAGUCGGACGGUAGCACAGAGAGCUUGCUCUUGGGUGACGAGUGGCGGACGGGUGAGUAAUGUCUGGGGAUCUGCCCGAUAGAGGGGGAUAACCACUGGAAACGGUGGCUAAUACCGCAUAACGUCGCAAGACCAAAGAGGGGGACCUUCGGGCCUCUCACUAUCGGAUGAACCCAGAUGGGAUUAGCUAGUAGGCGGGGUAAUGGCCCACCUAGGCGACGAUCCCUAGCUGGUCUGAGAGGAUGACCAGCCACACUGGAACUGAGACACGGUCCAGACUCCUACGGGAGGCAGCAGUGGGGAAUAUCGCACAAUGGGCGCAAGCCUGAUGCAGCCAUGCCGCGUGUAUGAAGAAGGCCUUCGGGUUGUAAAGUACUUUCAGCGGGGAGGAAGGCGGUGCGGUUAAUAACCGUACCGAUUGACGUUACCCGCAGAAGAAGCACCGGCUAACUCCGUGCCAGCCGCCGCAGUAA